rnacentral:hammerhead_ribozyme from 15 species
AACUGGUCAGGAGUUAAUGCUGCUCUCCUGACGAGGCCAUGGCAGGUCGAAACCAUUU